rnacentral:piRNA from 1 species
UACUGAGUAAAUCACACGAAGGUAUCUGC